rnacentral:rRNA from 1 species
GUCGCAGCUAACGCAUUAAGCGCCCCGCCUGGGGAGUACGGUCGCAAGACUAUUACUCAAAGGAAUUGACGGGGGCCCGCACAAGCAGCGGAGCAUGCGGCUUAAUUCGAUGCAACGCGAAGAACCUUACCUAGACUUGACAUAUACGGAAAACAUGCAGAGAUGUAUGGUCCUAACGGGCCGUUUACAGGUGGUGCAUGGUUGUCGUCAGCUCGUGUCGUGAGAUGUUGGGUUAAGUCCCGCAACGAGCGCAACCCUCGUUCUAUGUUGCCAGCACGUAAUGGUGGGGACUCAUAGGAGACUGCCGGGGUCAACUCGGAGGAAGGUGGGGAUGACGUCAAAUCAUCAUGCCCCUUAUGUCUAGGGCUGCACGCAUGCUACAAUGGCUGGUACAAAGGGCUGCGAUACCGCAAGGUGGAGCGAAUCCCAAAAAGCCAGUCUCAGAUCGGAUUGGGGUCUGCAACUCGACCCCAUGAAGUUGGAGUUGCUAGUAAUCGCAGAUCAGCAACGCUGCGGUGAAUACGUUCCCGGGCCUUGUACACACCGCCCGUCACGUCACGAAAGUCGGUAACACCCGAAGCCGGUGGCCUAACCGUAAGGAAGGAGCCGUCGAAG